rnacentral:misc_RNA from 13 species
GAUCAUCUUCAGGGCCUUGUGUUGUCUGCAUUUCAGCAAAAGCAAUGAGAAGAAACUCCCAUCGGCCAUCAAUCAGAGAACUUUUUUGCUGAAAUGCAGACAACACAAGGCCCUGAAGAUGAUCU